rnacentral:rRNA from 1 species
CCUACGGGAGGCAGCAGUGGGGAAUAUUGCACAAUGGGGGAAACCCUGAUGCAGCGACGCCGCGUGAGUGAAGAAGUAUUUCGGUAUGUAAAGCUCUAUCAGCAGGGAAGAAGAAAGACGGUACCUGACUAAGAAGCCCCGGCUAACUACGUGCCAGCAGCCGCGGUAAUACGUAGGGGGCAAGCGUUAUCCGGAUUUACUGGGUGUAAGGGGAGCGUAGACGGCUGUGCAAGUCUGAAGUGAAAGCACAGGGCUCAACCCGGGGACUGCUUUGGAAACUGUGGAGCUAGAGUGCUGGAGAGGUAAGUGGAAUUCCUAGUGUAGCGGUGAAAUGCGUAGAUAUUAGGAGGAACAGCAGUGGCGAAGGCGGCUUACUGGACAGUAACUGACGUUGAGGCUCGAAAGCGUGGGGAGCAAACAGGAUUAGAUACCCUAGUAGUC